AUACGGAGGAUGCAAGCGUUAUCCGGAUUUAUUGGGUUUAAAGGGUGCGUAGGCGGAUGAUUAAGCGUGAGGUGAAAUGCCACUGCUCAACAGUGGAACUGCCUCGCGAACUGGUUGUCUUGAAUGCUCCUGCCGUGGGAGGAAUGUGUGGUGUAGCGGUGAAAUGCAUAGAGAUCUCACAGAACACCGAUUGCGAAGGCAUCUCACGAAGGGGUGAUUGACGCUGAGGCACGAAAGCGUGGGGAUCAAACAGGAUUAGAUACCCUGGUAGUCCACGCAGUAAACGAUGAUAACUAACCGCUGGGUCGUAGUGAUUCAGUGGCCAAGCGAAAGCGAUAAGUUAUCCACCUGGGGAGUACGACCGCAAGGUUGAAACUCAAAUGAAUUGACGGGG
rnacentral:rRNA from 1 species